AAUCAACGCUGGCGGCGUGCCUAACACAUGCAAGUCGAACGCGAAAGCCCCGCAAGGGGUAAGUAGAGUGGCAAACGGGUGAGUAACACGUGGGUGAUCUGCCUCGGAGUGGGGGAUAACGACCCGAAAGGGUCGCUAAUACCGCAUAACAUCCUGCCUUUGGAUAGGCGGUGAUCAAAGUUGGGGAUUCGCAAGAACCUGACGCUUGGAGAGGAGCCCGCGGCCGAUUAGCUAGUUGGGAGGUAACGGCUCACCAAGGCAACGAUCGGUAUCCGGCCUGAGAGGGCGGACGGACACACUGGGACUGAGACACGGCCCAGACUCCUACGGGAGGCAGCAGUGGGGAAUUGUUCGCAAUGGGCGCAAGCCUGACGACGCAACGCCGCGUGGAGGAUGAAGAAUUUCGGUUCGUAAACUCCUUUGAUCGGGAAGAACAGCUUUCGGGUGAAUAGCCUGGAUGCCUGACGGUACCGAGAGAAGAA
rnacentral:rRNA from 1 species